rnacentral:rRNA from 1 species
CGGCACGGGUGAGUAACACGUAUGGAACCUGCCCUAUGCAGGGGGAUAAGCGGAAGAAAUUCCGUCUAAUACCGCAUAACACCAUUUGGAGACAUCUCCAGGGGGUCAAAGGAGGCGACUCCGGCAUAGGAUGGCCAUGCGUCGCAUUAGCUAGUCGGCGGGGUAACGGCCCACCGAGGCGACGAUGCGUAGGGGUUCUGAGAGGAAGGUCCCCCACACUGGUACUGAGACACGGACCAGACUCCUACGGGAGGCAGCAG